UACGUAGGGAGCAAGCGUUGUCCGGAAUCAUUGGGCGUAAAGCGCGCGUAGGUGGCCUCAUAAGUCCGCUGUGAAAGUCAAAGGCUCAACCUUUGAAAGCCGGUGGAUACUGUGAGGCUAGAGUACGGAAGAGGCGAGUGGAAUUCCUGGUGUAGCGGUGAAAUGCGUAGAUAUGCGGAGGAACACCGAUGGCGAAGGCAAUCCCCUGGACCUGUACUGACGCUCAUGCACGAAAGCGUGGGGAGCAAACAGG
rnacentral:rRNA from 1 species